rnacentral:lncRNA from 1 species
AACAAAAUCAUCCAUAAAUCUUUGAUUUGUUUUUCAAGUCAAAUAAUAAAUACAGUGAAGAACAAAAAGAAAAUCACUCACUUGAUUGACAGCAGGAGGAAUAUUUGCAGUAGCUAACAAGGUCUCAAGCUUCUUGCACGAAAAGUUGCUGACUCCAAAGGUUAGUGACUUUCGGAUCUGGAAAGAUUUUCGGCUGCCGAACCCUGCCCCCGAAAGUGCCUGACUUUCGGAUCUGUAGGGAUCUUCGGCUGCCGAACCUGCCAUCGAAAGUCCCCUGUCCAGCCUUCCUUUUUUAGUUUUCUAUGCAUGUUUUGAUGAUGUUUUAGGGGGUUUUUGGGGAGAUGUUUAGAGUUUUUAUAGAGUCGUUUGGUCCCUCAUUUGAGUCCACCUGUGUAGGAUCGGACCUGAGGAACCGAGAUGAUCAGCAGUGAGAUAGCUGCUUCAGAGUUAGUUCAGAGUCAGCCAGAGCCCAGAGGUGAGUAGAACAUAACUUCUUUUAUUUUUCAAAGUAAUCAAACUUUUAAGUAUGUUCAUGCAUCAUGAUAUGUAUUAAGCUGUUUGCAUUAGAUUUCACGAAUAUGCUGCAUUGCAUUAUUUGUUGUUGAUGUGGAUGGACAACAGGACGACCCAUUAGCCCUCUAGAUGUUAUGUUAUGUAAUGAAAGACUAGGGCUGCCAUUCUACGCCCCUGGUACAGAGUACAGGAAAGACCAGGUGUGGCCUGUACUACGCCCCUGGCACACAACUUAUGUUAUGUAAUAGAAGUCCUGAGGAGCUCCACCGAGGGCCGGGCACAGAAUAAAGGGAUUUUUGGGUCAGUUCAUCCGUGAUGUGAAUUGUUUGUGUUGUGACGCAUUUCAUGAAAGCAUAUAUUUAAUUAACCGUUUUUACUGUUAUGCUUUCUGGGCUUUAAUAGCUCACCCAUUUCCCCUAACCCCCAGGUUAUAGGGUCAGAGAUAGCUCAAGAAGUCAGCAAGGGUAAAGGCUAUGUAUAUAUAAUAGAUUAGUAGUUGAUAUGUAAUGUAAAAUGAUAUAACGUAAUGUAAAGUAGAGUGAUGUUUUAUGGAUUAGUAUUGUGCUUGACCCUACAGUAGUGGUAAUCCCUUUUGUACAUGAUCUGUAUGUAAUGUUUUUAAUGAUAUUAUCUAAUGAACCAAGCUUGAUAUAUGAAAUGUGGACCCAACUAGAGCAUUUGAUGAGAGCUCUAGUAUAGGGUUUUAUGUUUACAGUUAUGAUGCAUGCACAGGUCAAGUUUGGUGUAUGAAAAGUUUAAAAUUUUUAUGCAAAUGUAUGAUCAUGUAUGAGAUUUUAUCAGGUACACAGGAUGUAUAGUAGGCUUGCUACGGGUCCCAACGACUUUAAGUCGAUUUGGAUCUUAGUGCAGGUAGCGGUCCGAUUUCGGAUCGUUACACAACUACUGCUUGAAAAGAUUCAUACAGAAGAAAAUGGAUCAGACAUAAUAACUAAAAUUUUACUAAGGAAAAAGUUUGAGUACUAUCGACUAGCGGCUGGAAUGGUAGAGCCCUCUAUAUAGUUGGGAGGGGAGAAUUGUUAGGUGAGUCCCUCCAAUAUGAAGGGCUACACUAAUGAUUAUCAAUUAAAAAUGAAAAAAAAGGAAAAAUUUCAACCACAAAUCAAAAACCAUGGCCAUCUCUUUCUCCAAAUAUCUCCCCUUGAUUUUGCAUUAAAUGGUUGGGCGAUAUUUUUGCCUAGGUAAGAGCACAAGGCAUCAAACUUUCACCAAAUAGAAAAAAUCUCCUCUUAUUUUGCAUUAAAUGGUUGGACGAUAUUUUUGCCUACAUAAGAGCACAAGGCAUCAAAAAGCAUCAUUUGAAGAGUUUCAAUAAUUGGAGAGCUUUGAGUGCUUUUUUUUCUUCAAAACUUAUAAUUUUGAGAGGGGAUAGUUUAUUUGAAAAGUGAAAAAAAUAUUUUAGAUUUUUAAAAAACAAUUUAAGUACCAUUAGUUUUGGAUAGAUCUCACUUGUAAUCCUUUUUUAUACCUACUAUUUAUAAAAAUAAAAAAUUAUUUAAAUUUUGGUUUGUGAACAUAGUUUAAAAUUAAAAGUGAACCACUUAAAAUUAUUGUACACCAUUUAUUUAUUUUUUAUAAUAUUUUUUUUUUUUUGAAAUAGGGGUUGGGAGAGUCGAAUCUUAGACCUCUCAAACCUACAAAGAUGCACUUUCCACCAGACUAAGACUCGAAGUGCAUUUUUUAUAAUAUUUUAUUUUUACUAUUUUAAAAGCGAUGUAAUCCCAUUAAUAGUAUCAUUAAUUAUAACAGUUAGAGUUAAUGAUAAUAGUUAGAGUAAAAAUCACAGCAGAAUACCGGUUUUAAUUUAGAUUAAAAAAUAGGAAAACAUUUCGCAUGGCAUGUCAUAGGUAUAAAAUUGCAAUUUCGUAUCUUAAAUUUAAAUUUGGCCACAAUUACGAUUUAUUUAAAAGAUUGAAACAAUAAAUCUAAAAAUUAAAAUGUUUAAAUUAAAAUCUAAAAGUACAUAAAUAUUGAAAUUUUUAUGCAAUUAAUUUAAAUACAUACUUAUAUCUAGGUACUAUGUUUAUACAAUAUUAUUAAAUGAAAUAACAGUAGAAUACAAAUUUAGGGAAAAAAAAACAGGAGAUUAAAAUUAAUUCUCGAGUACGAAUAGAUUUUAUAUAAAUUAAAUAUAAUUUUUAAUAAUUAUAUAUAUAUAUAUUUAAAUAUAUAUAAUUUUUUUCUUUAUUUUAAAUUAAUAUAAAAAUUAAAGUGAAAAUUAUUAUAAAAAAUAAUGAAGAAUUUAAAUAUAUUUUUAUUUUUCAAAUUGAAAAUAAUUUUCAAUAUUAUUCAUGAACAUACUUUCUAAUUUUUAUGGAGAAUAAAAUAAUAUAUAUUAAGUAAAAUUGAAGAUAAAAAACAAAAAAAAAUAUUUUUUAUAACUAAAUGCACUCUUAAUUACUGUAAUGUUUCAGUUUUAUUAGAUUAACGUUAUUAUGUUGGAACUGGUUAAAUGUAUAUUAAAUAAUUGUUAAAUAUUUUUCAUUUUAAUAGAUAAAAAAUAUUUAUUAUUUUCAUCAUAAAAGGCUGUACGUAGAUUUUCACCAAGAGGCCAGACAAUGGAAACUCUGUAUAAUUUUCAUCUUGUACAGAAACAGAAGCAAAAUGACGUAAACGAGACAUUGUUGCAUAUUCCAAACAAAUCAUGUACAUCUUCCCCCACCAAUCAAAAAGAACAGGAGGAGAUAGUGUUACUGAUUUGUUUUUCAUCGGAUCAACAGAAAAACUUAAACAAUGGAAAAAAAAAAUAUUUAUUUAUUCACUUAUUUGGCCAGUAACUGGAAGUUCCUUGAGAUAGAUUUAACAUUAAGCAAAAAAGAUAAUUCCGAAAAAUAAUAAUUUGGCUAAAUAUUGUCUGAAGAUAAAUCAAUCUCUUCAUCCCAAAGCUCUUCAACAGUUUUGUAAGGACCUUCGUGGGAGAUGAAUUCAAGACCUGGAAACCCUUUACGCUGUGGAAGUUGACUGAUCUUGUGUAGUUCUUCUUGACUCAGUUUCCAAUCAAAUAUGUCAACAUUUUCUUUCAUCCUCUCCUUGUUGAAGCUCUUCACUAGCACACUUACCUCUUGCUCAUACGCCCAUCUCAAGCACACCUUCAUAUUCAGUCAGUUUACUUAGGUUUUCGAUUUUUUUGUUUUUUGAAUUCCUAAUAUAAUUUGAUAAAGAAAAGCUCACAACAAUCUUUUAGGCUUUAAUUGUGUUGAUGGAUUUUGCCCUUUGAUCUUUUCUUUGUGGGAGAAAAAUUUAUAAUAUAAUUCAAAAUCAUAUGAACGUAUGUUUUGUAGAAUUUAUAAUAAGAUAAAAGUUUUAGAUAUUUCUAAUUCAAAAUCUUUCUCUAGAAACCCAUUUUGCUACUUUUAAAAGAAUAAAUUUACAAAUACAAAAACAAGCAUAAAAAUUUUGUACCUGAGCAAUAGAUUUUGCUUUGGCAUCAGCAAUCUCUUUUAGCACCUUACAGUCCAAGACUAGGUUUGUACCCCACAGAGUUCCUUUGCCUCCUAAAGGAGAGUACACACUCACAUGUAUACCCUUUCUCCCGCAGAAGUCUCUCAGCUUUUUUUGCUGCCAAAGUGGGUUCAUUUCCACCUUCACCAACAAAAUCAUCCAUAAAUCUUUGAUUUGUUUUUCAAGUCAAAUAAUAAAUACAGUGAAGAACAAAAAGAAAAUCACUCACUUGAUUGACAGCAGGAGGAAUAUUUGCAGUAGCUAACAAGGUCUCAAGCUUCUUGCACGAAAAGUUGCUGACUCCAAUGGAUUUUGUGAGGCCAAGCUUUAGACACUCUUCCAUAGCUUCCCAUACAGACUUGGCAUCAAAUGGAACAAGGUCAUUCUUCUUCACAGGCAGCUCAUAUUCGCCUGGCUUCACGCUCACAGGCCAGUGAAUCAGGUACAGGUCGAGGUAAUCCAACUUAAGAUUCCUGCAAAAAAAUCAAAAACCUUAGUCGCACAUAUAACAUAAACUUGAUAUUUCUAAAAGAAGAAGGAGGAGGAGGAGGAAGAAUUGCUAGAUUGGUGAUUAUUACUUGAGCGUUUUACGUAAUGCAGGGAGGACACAGUCAUGAUGAGCGUCACUGCACCAAAGCUUGGAAGUGAUGAAGAGCUCAUCCCUGGACUUUACAAGGCCAAGCUGCAAGGCCUCUGAUAU